rnacentral:misc_RNA from 1 species
AGGCAGAGAGAAAAGCUGCUGUUUGUAUUUGCUCUUCCGUGUGUUGAAUAAUACAUACAUAUAUAUAUAUAUAUAUGUAUAUAUAUAUAUAUUUAUUUAGCACAUAUUGUUGCUGAUAUACACUUGAAUAUCUAAGUACAGUUGUUCAUCAUAUAUUUCUGUUAAAAGCCAUUUUCAACCACUAUGGACAUCAGACCAAACCACACAAUUUAUAUUAACAAUUUGAAUGAAAGUAUUAAGAAAGAUGAACUAAAGAAAUCUUUAUAUGCAAUUUUCUCACAAUUUGGCCAAAUUCUUGACAUUGUUGCCUUAAAAACUUUGAAAUGUCGAGGACAAGCUUUUGUAAUUUUUAAAGACAUCAACAGUGCCACAAAUGCUCUCCGGUCAAUGCAAGGCUUCCCGUUCUAUGACAAACCAAUGAGAAUACAGUAUUCCAAGAAAGAUUCUGAUAUCAUUGCGAAGAUGAAAGGUACCUAUACAGAAAGACCAAAAAAGAAAAAAGAUGAUGAGCCAGAAAAUAAGAAACGCAAGAAGGGAGCUUCCCAACAGGCUGUUGCCGCUGCUGCUAAGGCCCAGGCAGCUGGUGUAGUACCACCUCCUAUCCAACCCAUUUCAGCAAUGGCUGGUCAACCAGUUCCUCAACAACCUGUACUACAACAAUUACAGCAGCCAGUUGUUCAAAAUUCUACAAAUAUGGCAGCGCCAAAUACCAUUCCAGAACAGCCUCCUAACCAAAUUCUGUUCUUAACCAACCUUCCUGAGGAAACCACAGAAAUGAUGUUGUCAAUGUUGUUCAAUCAAUUUCCUGGUUUCAAAGAGGUCCGUUUGGUGCCUGGUCGGCAUGAUAUUGCAUUUGUUGAAUUUGAAAAUGAAAUGCAAGCUGGUGCGGCAAAGGAUGCACUUCAAGGCUUCAAGAUUACACCAAACAAUGCAAUGAAAAUCACAUUUGCUAAGAAGUAGGACAAGAAAGAAGACAGUAAAAAUAUGAUGAAAGAAAUUUGGUGCAUUUCAGUAAAACUUACAAAAUAAACCAUCAAAUUCUGCACAACUUUGCUGCCAGAUGGAAUGGACUUAAUACUCGAUCUACUCAUGCAUCACAUAUCUGACAGUGGGCUCUGUUACCUUGAGCUACUUGGAAAUGGCCCUCUUCAACUUCCUGAGAUUCUCAUUGACGAUGUCUUGAAGGAACUUGACCCAUCUUGAUUGUGCCUAACCAGGGAGAAUGUUUCUUGCAUCUUGGCUGCAGUUGGUAUGAGCUGCCAAAAGCCUCCAGAUCUUUCCUGACCUUCAACAUAAUCUGACUGUGUUCAAGAAGCUAAUAAACUCUGAAUUACUUUGGCUGGUGGAUGGAACCACAAGUACAGCCUGUCUUAUCGUUUCUUGUCAGGCUGGAAUCUGCCAUGUUGAUUUUGUUUGUGUAUCUGAGAGAGAAAUGAGAACAUUAAAAUUUGGUGCAUAUUUUGUUACAUGAUGUUAGAUUGUCUACCCAUUUAUGACCCACUAAAAUAUAGUGUUCACAAAGACUUGGUACACUCUGUAUGUGUAUGUACACACAUAUUCUCUAAUACAGAUAUGUACAUGAAUGUGUGACUAAUUAUUUAAACAUCAUCUUU